rnacentral:rRNA from 1 species
UACAGAGGGUGCAAGCGUUAUCCGGAUUCACUGGGUUUAAAGGGUGCGUAGGAGGGCAGGUAAGUCAGUGGUGAAAUCUCCAAGCUUAACUUGGAAACUGCCGUUGAUACUAUCUGUCUUGAAUAUUGUGGAGGUGAGCGGAAUAUGUCAUGUAGCGGUGAAAUGCUUAGAUAUGACAUAGAACACCAAUUGCGAAGGCAGCUCGCUACACAUAUAUUGACUCUGAGGCACGAAAGCGUGGGGAUCAAACAGG